UACGUAGGUGGCGAGCGUUGUCCGGAAUUACUGGGUGUAAAGCGCGUGUAGGCGGGAGGCCAAGUCUGUGGUGAAAUCUCCGGGCUUAACUCGGAAAGGUCAACUGAUACUGUGCGGCUAGAGUGCAGAAGGGGCAACUGGAAUUCUUGGUGUAGCGGUGAAAUGCGUAGAUAUCAAGAGGAACACCUGCGGCGAAGGCGGGUUGCUGGGCUGACACUGACGCUGAAGCGCGAAAGCCAGGGGAGCGAACGGG
rnacentral:rRNA from 1 species